GUUGAUCGAAGAAGAGAAGGAGAACACGGAGCAGCGGGCCGAGGAGACUGAGAGCAGGGAGGGCAGGGGGAGCUUAGGCAGCCUCUGUCGUUUUAAAUCAGUGAGCUCCCUCAACCUGCUUCCCACCUCCUCGCAUGCUGGCUCCUGCCCACCCCUGCCCAAGCCCAGAACGAGGCGGCACAGCCCGGCACAGGAGGGAGACCAGCUGGGCAUCAUGACUCUGGGUGAUACAAGAUCAUCUCUUAGUGAAGACCAGGGGGUGCUUUACGGAAACCACUGUGAGCGAAUGACACUCGAACUGCGUCUGCCAGCUAUACGGGAAGAGGUAGGAGAUGACAAGACCACCAUCAAAUGUGAAACCUCGACCCCCGCCUUACCGCUGUCCCUUCGGCUGGGCCGCCUGCACACGGGGGCGCUGCACACAGCCACCCAUGAGGACCUCAGGGACGCCCACAACUCGACAGGCUCUCAGGACAGCCCCGGGAACAACCCCAGCAGCGGCACCAGCAGGCAGGACUCGCUGCACAAAGCCCCAAAGAAAAAGGGCAUCAAUUAAGUCCUCCAUCAGCCUCUUGUUUCGCAAGAAGGAAAAGGGCCGGCCUGAAGACCCCAACAAGGAGGCAUUAGGACCAGGUCAGGCCAACAGGCCGCACCUCUCCUUGGGGGGCGUGCUGUACUUGAGGUGCACUGCCUGCGAAAGGACACCAGCCUGCUGGCGCCAGCCCGCCACCAAACACCGCCAAAACCAGACCAG
rnacentral:lncRNA from 1 species